rnacentral:rRNA from 1 species
GGCGAACGGGUGAGUAAGACGUGAGCAAUCUGCCCAUCACAUCGGGAUAACUUCGGGAAACCGAAGCUAAUACCGAAUACAACCACUUCAGGCAUCUGACGGUGGUGGAAAGUUCCGGCGGUGAUGGAUGAGCUCGCGGCCUAUCAGCUUGUUGGUGGGGUAAUGGCCUACCAAGGCUUCGACGGGUAGCCGGCCUGAGAGGGUGACCGGCCACACUGGGACUGAGACACGGCCCAGACUCCUACGGGAGGCAGCAGUGGGGAAUAUUGGACAAUGGGCGAAAGCCUGAUCCAGCAACGCCGCGUGAGGGAUGACGGCCUUCGGGUUGUAAACCUCUUUCAGCGCCGACGAAGCGAAAGUGACGGUAGGCGCAGAAGAAGCACCGGCCAACUACGUGCCAGCAGCCGCGGUAAUACGUAGGGUGCGAGCGUUGUCCGGAAUUAUUGGGCGUAAAGGGCUCGUAGGCGGUCUGUCGCGUCGGGAGUGAAAACUCAGGGCUUAACCCUGAGCCUGCUUCCGAUACGGGCAGACUAGAGGUAUGCAGGGGAGAACGGAAUUCCUGGUGUAGCGGUGAAAUGCGCAGAUAUCAGGAGGACACCAGUGGCGAAGGCGGUUCUCUGGGCAUU